AUGCAGUCACCUCCAGCGAGUCAAGGAGCACGGAACGGCGCGCAGCCGUUUCCCCAAUGGGGCACAGGAUGGGGAUGCUGUUGGAUUCCAGACACCACUGCAACAAGCUCAGCCGACUGAACCCCUAACUGCUUCCACGAUUCACAGUUAGGCAUGCUGAGACCUACGACGUACUAUUGAACAGUCACCAUCUCAUGACAGUGACACGACGACACCGGGAUCGGCUUACCUCCAUGACGGCGAAGGGCUUGUCCACCGAAUGGUAGCAGGUCUGGAAUUGCGUGAGCCAGUGGCGUGCUUCCCCCGGGCUGGCACCACACUGGUUCAGGAAGGCCUGGAUGUCCCGCUGCACCAGUGAUCUGCCGGCGGGAGGCGCAGGGGAUUCGAGGGGCGUUGGAAGCGGUGUCCACGACGGCUCCUCGACCGCAGGAGACUGGACACGACCCUUAGCGCCCUCGGCGUCCUCUGCGUGAGCCCUGGCGGUGCUGAGCCGGCGUCCCGGGCUGGCGCUCUUUGCCCCGCGCCGCCGCGCGCUGCCACUCAGUCUCCGUGAGCCCCCAGGACCUCCCGGGCUGCGCAACCUUCUGGCCGCUGCAGCAGACCGCAGGGCUGUGGCCACCCACGCCGUCGCCAUGACGACAACCAAACCCACUCGUCCCCCCCACCCACAGGGGUCAUGAACAACUGAAUCAGUAGAGGCUCGGCGUGCCUGGCUGACAGCAGCAAAUUCCAGCUCUUCCUCUAGUGCACCAGGCCCUCAGCCUCUCUCUGUGGUUUCUCCUGUGACUCUUGUCAAGAUCUCUUCCCAAAACAGCUGGAUUUUUUUUCUUAUUAUUUUUCCAUGGUUUGACUUAUUUUUCCAUUUAACUGUUAAAGUAGACUUUGUUACAUCUAUUAAUUUCCUCUACACACACACACACACACACACACACACACACACACACACACACACACACGUGCAUGCCACAGAACUUGUGCAGUCAGAAGACAACUUUGCUUGUCAGCUCUCUCUUUCCUCCAAGUGGAUCUUGCGGAUCA
rnacentral:lncRNA from 1 species